UGAGCCCGCCGGGCGGCCGCGGUGCCUUCGGGCGUCGAGGAAAGUCCGGACUCCGCAGGGCACGGUGCUGGGUAACACCCAGGCGGGGCGACCCGACGGAAAGUGGAACAGAGAGCAGACCGCCGAUGGCCGCCUCAGCGGCACAGGCAAGGGUGAAACGGUGGUGUAAGAGACCACCAGCGUCGCGGGUGACCGCGACGGCUCGCCAAACCCCACCGGGAGCAAGGCCGAACAGGGGCCGGGUGGCCCGUCCGAUGGCCCCGGGUAGGCCGCAAGAGCCCGCCGGCAACGGCGGGCCCAGAUAGAUGGCCGCCGCCGGUUCAUCACCGGCACAGAAUCCGGCUUACAGGCGGGCUCACCCG
rnacentral:RNase_P_RNA from 1 species